rnacentral:tRNA from 1 species
UAGGAUGUAGUAUAAUGGAAGUAUGGGGAGUUUUGAUUUCCCUAGUGUAGGUUCGAGUCCUAUUUUUCUAG